GCAGUCGAGCGGUAGCACAGAGAGCUUGCUCUCGGGUGACGAGCGGCGGACGGGUGAGUAAUGUCUGGGAAACUGCCUGAUGGAGGGGGAUAACUACUGGAAACGGUAACUUAUACCGCAAAAUGUCGCAAGACCAAAGUGGGGGACCUUCGGGCCUCAUGCCAUCAGAUGUGCCCAGAUGGGAUUAGCUAGUAAGUGGGGUAACGGCUCACCUAAGCAACUAUCCCUAGCUGGUCUGAGAGGAUCACCAGCCACACUGGAACUGAGACACGGUCCACACUCCUACGGGAGGCAUCAGUGGGGAAUAUUGCAGAAUGGGCGCAUGCCUGAUGCAUCCAUGCCGCGUGUGUGAAGAAUGCCUUCGGGUUGUAAAGCACUUUCAGCGGGGAGGAAGGCGUUCAGGUUAAUAACCUUGGCGAUUGACGUUACCCGCACAAGAAGCACCGGCUAACUCCGUGCCAGCAGCCGCGGUAAUACGGAGGGUGCAAGCGUUAAUCGGAAUUACUGGGCGUAAAGCGCACGCAGGCGGUCUGUCAAGUCAGAUGUGAAAUCCCCGGGCUCAACCUGGGAACUGCAUUCUAAACUGGCAUGCUAGAGUCUUGUAGAGGGGGGUAGAAUUCCGGGUGUAGCGGUGAAAUGCGUAGAGAUCUGGAGGAAUACCGGUCGCGAAAGCAGCCCCCUGGACAAACACAGACGCUCAGGUGCGAAAGCGUGGGGAGCAUACAGGAUUAGAUACCCUGGUACUCCACGCCGUAAACGAUGUCGAUUUGGAGGUUGUGCCCUUGAGGCGUGGCUUCCGGAGCUAACGCGUUAAAUCGACCGCCUGGGGAAUACGGCCGCAGGUUAAAACUCAGAUGAAUUGACGGGGGCCCGCACAAGCGGU
rnacentral:rRNA from 1 species